AACGAACGCUGGCGGCGUGCCUAAUACAUGCAAGUCGAACGUUAGAUGUAGCAAUACAUCGAAAGUGGCGAACGGGUGAGUAACACGUAAGUAAUCUGCCUUUAAGAUUGGGAUAACCUUGCCAACGCGGGGCUAAUACCGGAUGUGAUUAACAGAACGCAUGUUUUGUUAAUUAAAGGAGUGAUCCGCUUAAAGAUGAACUUGCGGCCCAUUAGUUAGUUGGCGGGGUAACGCCCACCAAGACCGCGAUGGGUAGCCGGCCUGAGAGGGUGUACGGCCACAUUGGGACUGAGAUACGGCCCAGACUCCUACGGGAGGCAGCAGUAGGGAAUUUUGCGCAAUGGACGAAAGUCUGACGCAGCAACGCCGCGUGAGGGAUGAAGGUCUUCGGAUUGUAAACCUCUGUUGAAUGGGAAAAAAGUAGCAAUAUUUGAUGGUACCAUUUGAGGAAGCACCGGCUAACUACGUGCCAGCAGCCGCGGUAAACGUAGCGUG
rnacentral:rRNA from 1 species